rnacentral:rRNA from 1 species
AUGGCGCAUGAUAACGGGGGUAAUGUGGAUAUCAUGAUGUGUGUUGUGGGGACAAAUCAACAGUGUGAAUAUGCGCACCCCGCAAGCUUUGGUUCUGCCAACAACAAAACAGACGAAGUCAGCGAGCCAGCGAGUCCAGAAACAGGAGGAGAGAAUGCUGAACAGGGAGACAAAAACACCGAGGCAUACUCCACACCGAAGCCUCCGGAUGAAACGAUAAAGUUUGGUACUUUUGAGGAAGUUUAUGAUCACUACAAGCAAUAUGCACUCAGACAUGGGUUUGGAAUGAGACUGGAAUACAGAAAAACAAUUAAAGACGAUACUGUAAGCAGAGUCCUCUUGGUUUGUGGGAAAUACGGCAAGCCAAAAACAAACAAGGAGGAGAUAGAGGAUGUGCAGGACCCAAAAUGCAUCGUGAAAAGAGGAAAAGAGGGAAGAUUGAACAUUCCAAAAGAUGAGCAGCACUUCUUGAAGAUAUUGCACGGAUGCAACAUAGAGACAGCAAGACAGAUGCAACUAAUGUCAUGGUUCUACGGGAAUCCUAAAGAUGUACCAUACACAACAAAGGACAUCGCAAACCAGCGAGCUAAAUUCCGGAUGGAGUACCGCCAUGCUGAUGUGGGGAGCACAAUCUCAUACUUCCAAGAUAUGAAGGCACAAGAUCCAGAUUUCUAUUAG